AAGAAAUUAGUUAAAAUUCAAAUAACCUAAAAUUGUCAAUUUUAAAUUACUAAAAGUAUUUCUUU
rnacentral:tRNA from 1 species